UGCAUCGUCAUCCCGAUACUUCCGGAUCUGAAAACCGGCCAUGGCUCAGCCCUGGUUUGGAAAUCAAAAAGAGGGCAAAAUAUGAGAGUUUUGGUCUCCCUCCCCUCUAGCCCAGGUUGAUGUCCCCUGCAAACAUGGUGAUCAGCAGGAUGAUGGUGAACCCGGUGAGCAGCCCUGCGUUCUGGAUCAGGAAGAAGAUGAUCUUGGUGGAAGUCCGCUUCUGUUCCCGUAAUAUGCUGUCCAUCUCUGGAAACUGACAUGAAGAAAUACACCAGAUAUUAAAAAUACAAUGGCCUCAUUGUUCAACACUCUACAUAAUGGGAAAUAACAACAUAUAAACAAGAAGUGUAAAUCAGCUGA